rnacentral:ncRNA from 1 species
GCAGGUGUCGCAAGACUCAAUAGGGAAGCCGGAAAAGCCGGCGCGGUCCCGCCACUGUAUCGGGAGCCGACCGCAAAAUGUCACUGGUCCGGGCAAAGCCAGGCUGGGAAGGCGCGGUGCGGCGAUGAACGUAAGCCAGGAGAACUGCCUGCUUG